CAAAGAAUAGUUUAAGAAAAAUUAUAAUUUUGGAGAUUAUAGAUAAAGAUAUUCUUUUUCUUUGA
rnacentral:tRNA from 3 species